GGGCGGAGGGUGUGGGGCGCAUUCAGGCUGUGUGACUGAGGACAUGGUGGGGCACCUUUGGCCUAGGGGACAGAGGGUGUGGGAUACCCCUGAGCUGUGGGAUGGAGGGUGUGGGGGUACCCCCAGCUGUGGGAUGGAGGGUGUGGGGGUACCCCCAGCUGUGGGAUGGAGGGUGUGGGGGUACCCCCAGCUAUGGGAUGGAGGGUGUGCAGUAUCCCUGGGCUGUAAGAUGGAGGGUGUGGGGUACCCCCCAGCUGUGGGAUGGAGGGUGUGGGGUAACCCCAGCUGGGGGGUGGAGGGUAUGGGGUGCCUCUGGGCUGUGGGGUACCCCUGGGCUGUGGGAUGGAGGGUGAGGGGUGCCCCCUUGCUGUGGGGUGGAGGGUGUGGGCUGUCCCCGGGCUGUGGGGUAGAGGGUGUGUGGUGCCCCUGGGCUGUGGGAUGGGGAAUAUGAGGUGCCCCAGGUGGUGGGGUGGAGGGUGUGGGGUGCCCCCGGGCUGUGGUGUGGAGGGUGUGGGGUACCCCCGGGCUGUGGUGUGGAGGGUGUGGGGUACCCCUGGGCUGUGGGGUAGAGGGUGUGGGCUACCCCGGGGCUGUGGGAGGGAGAGUGUGGGGUACACCCGGGCUGUAGGAGAGAGGGUGCGGGGUACCCCUGGCUGUGGGGUGGAGGUUGUGGGGGUACCCCCGGCUGUGGGGUGGAGGGGGGCUACCCUGGGCUGUGGGAGGGAGGGCGCGGGCUACCCCUGGGCUUCACAGCUUCGGGUAUCCCACACCCUUCACCCCACAGCCAAGGGAACCCCCACACCCUCCAUCCCACAGCCCGGGAGCACCCUUUCUCUCACAGCUCGGGUGUGGGGUACCUCUGAAUGUGGGAUGGAGGGUGUGGGGUGCCCCCAGGAUGUGGGAUGGAGGGUGUGGGGUGACCCUGGGCUGUGGGAUGGAGGGCAUGCGGUGCCUCUGGGCUGUGGGAUGGAGCGUGUGGUGUACCCCUGGCUGUGGGGUGGAGGGAUUGGGCUACCCCCACUGUGGGGUGGAGGGGGUGGGCUACCCUGGGCUGUGGGAGGGACAGUGCGGGCUACCCCCGGGCUUCACAGCUGCGGGUACCCCACACCCUCCACCCCACAGCCCAGGGGCACCCUUCUUCUCACAGCCUGGGUGUGGGGUACCCCCGUAUAUGGGAUGGAGGGUGUGGGGUGCCCCCGGGAUGUGGGAUGGAGGGUGUGGGGUACCCCCGUAUAUGGGAUGGAGGGUGUGGGGUGCCCCCGGGAUGUGGGAUGGAGGGUGUGGGGUGACCCUGGGCUGUGGGAUGGAGGGUGUAGGGUGUGUCUGGGCUGUGGGAUGGAGUGUGUGGGGCACCUUUGGGCUGUGGGAGUUGUGGGUUCCUGUUUUCAGGAUGUGAUUGGAUUCUCUGGAAAUCAGAUGCUGGGUCAGUUUGGUGUACAGGCUAUUAUUAGGGAGAGGCUUUGGGAUUGGAGCACACUUCUGGGGAGCUGAGCGGGGAGGAAAGACACAGACUGAUUGGACAGAGGCAGAGACAUGCCCGCCACCACCUUGCUUCAUCCCACGGGGAGCACUGUGGCGUCCUGGGGGGGACCUUUAUCCCCCUCACCUGGUGUGUCUGGCACUGACAGAGGCUGGGGGACAGUCCUUCCUUGAAGAAGGGUCCACAUCACAUCUCCAUGUCCAACCCAGUGGCCCCGCUGGAAAUCCUUAAUGUGCUGGGGAAAGUUGAAGGUGCCUAUGCUGGGUGAGAUCCCUUCCAUGGUGACUGGCAGAAUGCCAACUCCGGUUGGCCUCUGUGAAGGAUACUCAUGCUGCUAAGAAUAUCUUGGCUCAUGUGACUGGGAAGCUUGGGGAUAGCCACAGACUGCAGCAUGGCCGGGCAGCCUCUGCCCUGUGUCCCAGCAAUCCUCUGUGCUGGCCGCCCUGGACGGCACUCUCAGGAAUCCCAGGAGACAGAGGGCUUCUCUUCUCAGUAUUCACAUCAAGACCCUCAGGAGUUCAAGUGAUCGGACCACCUGCUCCCAUCCCCGAGCCACUGACUGCAGUGGGGCCUGGGCUGGGCUGUGUGGACCUUGAGACAGGGACUGCGAGGUACAGGAGCACCUGGGGAGGAGGCCCAGGCUCUGCUGGAGGGCUUCAAGGGUGAGAUGGAAAUGAGGCCUGGAGGUGAAGAUGCAGACGUCCUCAGGGAGGAGGGCCGGGAGUAUGACCAGGACGAGUUCCACUACGACAUGGAAGAGGG